CCAAGACAGCUAGGAGGUUGGCUUAGAAGCAGCCAUCCUUUAAAGAAAGCGUAACAGCUCACUAGUCUAGUUAAGCCGUCCUGCGCCUAAAAUGUACCGGGGCUAAAAUAGUGCACCGAAGAUGCGGGUUUUAAAGAUCUUCUGGAUCUUUAAAGCGGUAGCGGAGCGUUCUGUAAAUCUGCGAAGGGAUACCGGCGACGGGUCCUGGAGAUAUCAGAAGUGAGAAUGCUGACAUGAGUAACGACAAAGCAUGUGAGAAACAUGCUCGCCGAAAGUCCAAGGUUUCCUGCGCAAGGUUAAUCCACGCAGGGUUAGUCGGCUCCUAAGGCGAGGGCGAAAGCCGUAGUCGAUGGGAAUGAGGUUAAUAUUCCUCAACCAGUCUGAAGUGACGGAGAUUGUAAGGUGUAUCCGGUUAAUGGAUUCUGUGAUGCACUGAAAAUCUUCCAGGAAAUAGCUCAGACAUGAAUGACCGUACCCCAAACCAACACUGGUGGACGAGUAGAAAAUACUAAGGCGCUUGAGAGAAUUAUGUUGAAGGAACUCGGCAAAUUGACCCCGUAACUUCGGAAGAAGGGGUACCUCAUUGUGGGCAACCAUGAUGGGGUGGCACAGAAUAGGGGGUGGCGACUGUUUAACAAAAACACAGGACUCUGCUAAGUCGAAAGACGAUGUAUAGGGUCUGACGCCUGCCCGGUGCUGGAAGGUUAAGAGGA
rnacentral:rRNA from 1 species